rnacentral:rRNA from 1 species
UAGUGGCGGACGGGUGAGUAACACGUGGGAACGUGCCUUUAGGUUCGGAAUAGCUCCUGGAAACGGGUGGUAAUGCCGAAUGUGCCCUUCGGGGGAAAGAUUUAUCGCCUUUAGAGCGGCCCGCGUCUGAUUAGCUAGUUGGUAGGGUAAUGGCCCACCAAGGCUACGAUCAGUAGCUGGUCUGAGAGGAUGACCAGCCACAUUGGGACUGAGACACGGCCCAAACUCCUACGGGAGGCAGCAGUGGGGAAUCUUGCGCAAUGGGCGAAAGCCUGACGCAGCCAUGCCGCGUGUAUGAUGAAGGUCUUAGGAUUGUAAAAUACUUUCACCGGUGAAGAUAAUGACGGUAGCCGGAGAGGAAGCCCCGGCUAA